rnacentral:lncRNA from 1 species
AUCAAGACCCUUGAAUCAAAGCUAUCACAGACUUGAUUAUAGGUCAUGUAGAAAGCUUCCUUUCCUUCCUCACCGAGUCUGCAAAAAGAUCAUAGAGCUCAGUUCUUGGUUUGCUACUUAGGUUAUACAGUGAUUCAAAUAGUAAGUAGACUUACAUGGUAUUCAUCAUUGAAUCAACGGACGAAGAUCGAAAUUGGAGAAAUUCUCUGUCACCAAAUCUGGAACAAAGAAAGAUACGUACGUAGUAUUCAUACCACUAGUUUGUCAUGUUCUGUUAUAGAACGGCUGAGAAGACGAGAUUAAAAAAAGGUAAGGUAGCCUGUGUUUCUUUUUUUUUUGCCUUUUUUUUACCUUUUGUUUUUACUUUUAUUAAUUAAUAUUAAAUCAAUUACGAAAUUAUAAAGGACAAAUCUCCAAAAUAGCACAUUUCUAAGAUUAUAUCACAAAAAUAGCACUCCAAAACUAACAUGACCAAAAUAGCAACUUUCUAAGUUUAUCCUUUGAAAAUUUUAAGUUUUUUAUUUUUCAAAAUUUGAAAUCUUAUCCCAAAAACCUCAUUUCUCAACUCUAAACCCUAAACCCUAAACCCUAAACCCUAAACCCUAAACCCUAAACCCUAAACCCUAAACCCUAAACCCUAAACCCCACCCUU